rnacentral:rRNA from 1 species
CCGGCGAUGUCCGAAUGGGGAAACCCAGUGCAAUUCGUUGCACUAUCGUUAACUGAAUACAUAGGUUAACGAGGCGAACCGGGGGAACUGAAACAUCUAAGUACCCCGAGGAAAAGAAAUCAACCGAGAUUCCCCCAGUAGCGGCGAGCGAACGGGGAGCAGCCCAGAGUCUGAAUCAGCUUGUGUGUUAGUGGAACGGUCUGGAAAGUCCGACGGUACAGGGUGAUAGUCCCGUACACCAAAAUGCACAGGCUGUGAACUCGAAGAGUAGGGCGGGACACGUGGUAUCCUGUCUGAAUAUGGGGGGACCAUCCUCCAAGGCUAAAUACUCCUGACUGACCGAUAGUGAACCAGUACCGUGAGGGAAAGGCGAAAAGAACCCCGGCGAGGGGAGUGAAAAAGAACCUGAAACCGUGUACGUACAAGCAGUGGGAGCACCUUCGGGUGUGACUGCGUACCUUUUGUAUAAUGGGUCAGCGACUUAUAUUCUGUAGCAAGGUUAACCGUAUAGGGGAGCCGCAGGGAAACCGAGUCUUAACUGGGCGUUAAGUUGCAGGGUAUAGACCCGAAACCCGGUGAUCUAGCCAUGGGCAGGUUGAAGGUUGGGUAACACUAACUGGAGGACCGAACCGACUAAUGUUGAAAAAUUAGCGGAUGACUUGUGGCUGGGGGUGAAAGGCCAAUCAAACCGGGAGAUAGCUGGUUCUCCCCGAAAGCUAUUUAGGUAGCGCCUCGUGAACUCAUCUUCGGGGGUAGAGCACUGUUUCGGCUAGGGGGUCAUCCCGACUUACCAACCCGAUGCAAACUACGAAUACCGAAGAAUGUUAUCACGGGAGACACACGGCGGGUGCUAACGUCCGUCGUGAAGAGGGAAACAACCCAGACCGCCAGCUAAGGUCCCAAAGUCAUGGUUAAGUGGGAAACGAUGUGGGAAGGCACAGACAGCCAGGAUGUUGGCUUAGAAGCAGCCAUCAUUUAAAGAAAGCGUAAUAGCUCACUGGUCGAGUCGGCCUGCGCGGAAGAUGUAACGGGGCUAAACCAUGCACCGAAGCUGCGGCAGCGACACGAUGUGUUGUUGGGUAGGGGAGCGUUCUGUAAGCCUGCGAAGGUGACCUGUGAGGGUUGCUGGAGGUAUCAGAAGUGCGAAUGCUGACAUAAGUAACGAUAAAGCGGGUGAAAAGCCCGCUCGCCGGAAGACCAAGGGUUCCUGUCCAACGUUAAUCGGGGCAGGGUGAGUCGACCCCUAAGGCGAGGCCGAAAGGCGUAGUCGAUGGGAAACAGGUUAAUAUUCCUGUACUUGGUGUUACUGCGAAGGGGGGACGGAGAAGGCUAUGUUAGCCGGGCGACGGUUGUCCCGGUUUAAGCAUGUAGGCUGGUUAUCCAGGCAAAUCCGGAUAAUCAAGGCUGAGGUGUGAUGACGAGGCACUACGGUGCUGAAGUAACAAAUGCCCUGCUUCCAGGAAAAGCCUCUAAGCAUCAGGUAACAUCAAAUCGUACCCCAAACCGACACAGGUGGUCAGGUAGAGAAUACCAAGGCGCUUGAGAGAACUCGGGUGAAGGAACUAGGCAAAAUGGUGCCGUAACUUCGGGAGAAGGCACGCUGGUGUGUAGGUGAAGUCCCUGCGGAUGGAGCUGAGACCAGUCGAAGAUACCAGCUGGCUGCAACUGUUUAUUAAAAACACAGCACUGUGCAAACACGAAAGUGGACGUAUACGGUGUGACGCCUGCCCGGUGCCGGAAGGUUAAUUGAUGGGGUUAUCCGUAAGGAGAAGCUCUUGAUCGAAGCCCCGGUAAACGGCGGCCGUAACUAUAACGGUCCUAAGGUAGCGAAAUUCCUUGUCGGGUAAGUUCCGACCUGCACGAAUGGCGUAAUGAUGGCCAGGCUGUCUCCACCCGAGACUCAGUGAAAUUGAACUCGCUGUGAAGAUGCAGUGUACCCGCGGCAAGACGGAAAGACCCCGUGAACCUUUACUAUAGCUUGACACUGAACAUUGAGCCUUGAUGUGUAGGAUAGGUGGGAGGCUUUGAAGCGUGGACGCCAGUCUGCGUGGAGCCAACCUUGAAAUACCACCCUUUAAUGUUUGAUGUUCUAACGU